UACGAAGGGUGCAAGCGUUACUCGGAAUUACUGGGCGUAAAGCGUGCGUAGGCGGUUUGUUAAGUCCGUUGUGAAAGCCCUGGGCUCAACCUGGGAAUUGCAGUGGAUACUGGCGAGCUAGAGUGCGGUAGAGGAUGGUGGAAUUCCCGGUGUAGCGGUGAAAUGCGUAGAUAUCGAGAGGAACACCUGCGGCGAAGGCGGGUAGCUGGGCCGACACUGACGCUGAGGCGCGAAAGCCAGGGGAGCGAACGGG
rnacentral:rRNA from 1 species